rnacentral:rRNA from 1 species
GUGCCAGCAGCCGCGGUAAUACGAAGGGGGCUAGCGUUGUUCGGAAUUACUGGGCGUAAAGCGCGCGCAGGCGGUUCGAUAAGUUGGGGGUGAAAUCCCCGGGCUCAACCCGGGAAUGGCCUUCAAGACUGUCGAGCUAGAGGACGAGAGAGGUGAGUGGAAUUCCCAGUGUAGAGGUGAAAUUCGUAGAUAUUGGGAAGAACACCGGUGGCGAAGGCGGCUCACUGGCUCGUUUCUGACGCUGAGGCGCGAAAGCGUGGGGAGCAAACAGGAUUAGAAACCCCUGUAGUCC